AGAGCCAUGACAUCAACACAAUAAUCCACACCUAGGUUAUACAAGAUUCACACACAGUUAAAAAAUAACACACAGUUACAAAACAACACACACGCAGCUAGGAAUGUUCCAGCCAGUCAGUCACUCCGACUGUAGACAUGUGCUCAGGUCCGUCAGUCACUCCGACUGUAGACAUGUGCUCAGGUCCGUCAGUCAGUCCGACUGUAGACAUGUGCUCAGGUAAGUCACUCCGACUGUAGACAUGUGCUCAGGUCCGUCAGUCAGUCCGACUGUAGACAUGUGUCUCUGUUUGACACAAUUAGACUCUUUUCUACUCCUCAGGUCCUGACUUCCAUCUCUAUCAGGAUUUCCGUUAGACAGUAAUUACCGUUUUUUUUAGGAAAAUGGUUUUAAAUUCAAAUUAAAAUAAUAAAUUAUAACCUGGUCAAAAUGUCCUUCCAUAAUGCCAAAAUGCAAUAAUGGUAAUAAUGCUCAUACAAAAUGUAUCCUUAAACAACCAAAGCAAAUCAAUCAAUAACGGAACUAUAUCUUAUUGUUUUAUAGACUAUAUAGAUUUGACAGAAUUAUAGAUAAAAAUCCUAGCAACCCUUAUCUGA
ensembl:lncRNA